GACGAACGCUGGCGGCGUGCUUAACGCAUGCAAGUCGAACGGAAAGGCCCUGCUUUUGUGGGGUGCUCGAGUGGCGAACGGGUGAGUAACACGUGAGUAACCUGCCCUUGACUUUGGGAUAACUUCAGGAAACUGGGGCUAAUACCGGAUAGGAGCUCCUGCUGCAUGGUGGGGGUUGGAAAGUUUCGGCGGUUGGGGAUGGACUCGCGGCUUAUCAGCUUGUUGGUGGGGUAGUGGCUUACCAAGGCUUUGACGGGUAGCCGGCCUGAGAGGGUGACCGGCCACAUUGGGACUGAGAUACGGCCCAGACGCCUACGGGAGGCAGCAGUGGGGAAUAUUGCACAAUGGGCGGAAGCCGAUGCAGCAACGCCGCGUGCGGGAUGACGGCCUUCGGGUUGUAAACCGCUUUCGCCUGUGACGAAGCGUGAGUGACGGUAAUGGGUAAAGAAGCACCGGCUAACUACGUG
rnacentral:rRNA from 1 species